GACGUAGGGAGCAAGCGUUGUCCGGAUUUACUGGGCGUAAAGGGCGCGUAGGCGGUCUGUUAAGUGUGAAGUGAAAUCUCCAGGGCUCAACCCGGAAACUGCUUCGCAUACUGGCAGACUGGGGGAAGGAAGAGGUGAAUAGAAUUCCCGGUGUAACGGUGACAUGUGUUGAUAUCGGGAGGAAUACCAAUGGCGAAGGCAGUUCACUGGUCCUUUCCUGACGCUGAGGCGCGAAAGCGUGGGUAGCAAACAGG
rnacentral:rRNA from 1 species